AUCACACCCAGUGUUUGCUUUGCGGGGAGCUGAGCUGUUAUGGAGGCGCUGAGCACUCAGCGCGAUGAGAACGGCCCCGGCAAAUCUCCUUUCUUCCCUGGAACUGCCUCACAUCUCAGCAUCCACCUGUGGGGGCGCCUGUGUACUGAGAGCUGACAGAUUUUAAUGGCACCACUCCAGUUCAGUGUAUCACCGCGGACUCUGUGUGAUGUAGGACUGUGCCCAGGAAGGAGUGCGUUAGUUAACAGGGAGCAGCUCAGAGGGUUAGGGUCAAGUUCAGCUUUGCUCCAGCAUCUCCGUUUUCCUGGGACCAGUCGUCGCCCACGGCUGCAUCUGCUCCCUGUGGCAGGAGCAGCAGCGGAGCGAAGGAAACAAAGAAAACAGGCAACUUUCAGUGUUUGAGGUUGAAGUAGGUUGACAUCCAAAAUCCUCUGUGUCCCAAAAUCCGGAUCAGGGCAAGACUCUUCCCUGGCCAGUGGGAAGUCUUGGCAAGUCAUAUGAUCAAGAGCAGGAUGCAUCACUGUCUGGGGUCGGGGGUGAAAUUCAGGAGCAAGAGGAGCUUCCCCAACAAGCUAAGAUGAGAGAAGAAUAUACCCACGUGAAGAGGUCCACCAUCAGCUCUCCGACACCAGCCCCUCUGUUACAUCCCUCCAGGCAGAGACUGGAAUAUUCCUCUUCCUGGCCUGUCCCGGGGAGAGGUCAUGGUCCUGAGCAUUGCUCUUAUGCACACAAACCAGCUGGUUGUACUUCUCUCUUUCUUUUUUUUCCCCCUCCUGACUAUGGUAUCAUUCGCCUUGUUUGCACAUAUUCUGAAUCACCUACUUAAAGGAAAUUUUUCUUGCCCAGAUCUAUGCAUCCUUGUAAGCUACCUAAACGCAAAUGAACAAAAGAGCACAAACCUGCCAAGAUGUAUUUUUAAUGACUUGGCACUCCUUGAGAGAAAGCCCUGGGCAUGUUGCUGCUGCCUGCCAACUCCAUGCCUUUGCUGUGGACGAGCACCCACAGAAGGUAAUCAGUGUGUGAUGAAGGCUGUAACACACAGAGGUGAUGACUCAGGGCUGUCAUGGCCCUUUAGUUACCAACUGCUGGAAGCCUCUACCUCCUCAUCUGUAAAAACAGAGUGUUGCCUAUGAUGCUGAAUUAAAGGCAGCCCAGCAGUGUGCUGAGAGAGUGGUGUUGGAAUCAGACCUAGAAUAUGAAUCCGGGUGGGCACUUCCAUCGCUUCCCCACGCCUCAGUGUCCUCAUCUAAAAAUAGAGGAGAACAGCUCUGAACUUAUAAAAUUACCCCGAGGACACAAUACAUGAGGAUUUGGAAGGGAUUUCGUACAACGACGAGCGUGCGGCACUUCCACUAGGGUUUGAUGGCAUUGGAAUGACUGUCCCUGUUUGUUUUUUAGACCAAACAAUAAACUGUGGUUUGCUGAUGUGUGGUGAGUGGUAGGGUAUUUGUUUUAUCGCUUUUAUUGACUCAGCUGCUGGAGAGAGUUUUGCGCCAGACAGGGACUGCCAAAAAGACUAUACUGGAGUCUGCUGGCUUUCAGUCACCCAGCUCAGAGCCUGUGGUCUGUCACUGUUUUGUCGGUGAUGCCAGGCUCCUGGGAGCACACUGGUGUCCCGGUGUGGGAGGUUAUAAAACGGGCUGCAAAUUCUCCCCUUGUCUGUACCCAUGCCUGCCAUGUUUUGAUGCACAGAGUCUGUUUCUCUGCCUCCUGAGUCUGAGUCGGCCGUGGCACUAGCUUUGGUCAGUGGGAGGUUAGCAAACAUGAAGCAAGCAGGGACUCAAGAGUACUUGUCCACCGGGGCUCUGCCGUGGAGCGUCUGGGAUCCGAAUGCAUGGCGCACCUGGCAGCCGAAGAGAGCCACCCCACCCAACCUCCCCCACUGCUCUUAUCUGGCAUCCAGCUGACCCCUGAAGCAGAGUCAUUAGCUGGUUGGUACUUGACCGCAUGAGCCCAGCUAAGAGAAGAAGAGUGGGCUGGCUGCUGCUGCUGCUAAGUCGCUUCAGUCGCGUCCAACUCUGUGCGACCCCAUGGACUGCAGCCUAUCAGGCUCCUCCGUCCAUGGGAUUUUCCAGGCAAGAGUACUGGAAUGGGGUGCCAUUGCCUUCUCCGGCGGGCUGGCUGAGCCCAGUCCAAAUGGAAACCUACAAAAUCAUGACUCUUGUGUGAUGCUACGAAGUGUGGUUUUCUUAUACAGUUAAAGCUCAUGACACAAUCAGUGCUCCUGGGGAAGACCAUGCAUUUUCCAUCUUGAUGGGGCUCCUCCCACAGGUAUGUGAUAUGUUGAUAAACAGAGUAGGGGGCUGUAUCUGGGUCCCCCCAAACCAUGCUCAUGUUCAGUGGUUCACUAGAAGCAUUCAUAGAACUCAGGAAAGCUGUUCUACUCAUGGUUACAAUUUAUUACAAAACAAGGAUACACAUUAAAAUCACCAAAUGAAACAAGACACACUUCCUGUUGUUCACUCCCCGUGGGGUUGUAUGGCCCACCUUUAGUUCUCUGAACAGCCCUGUGUGACAUCAUGCAAUUUUCUGUGCCCUGAUAAAGGGGAAGAACCCUUCUCUGGCAGGAGAGUAACUCAGACCCAAGAGUCAGAAGGUUCAUGGCUCAGAUGAUGUCACAUGUGUAUUGUGUAUAGAAGCUUUGUGUGGUUGGCGCACAGGUUGCUAUGAACAUCCUAGAAUGCUGUCAUUUACAUGAGAGUGAACAAACCAGCCUUGGGCAAGACUCCUUUUCAGAUCUCUUCAGUCAAGUCUCCCUUCCCCUCACCCUCAGUCUCCUACGUACAGAAUGAGCUGGUCAGAUGAGAUCACCUCCAAGGCCUCAUUUAGUUUCAUGAUGCUCUGACCCUCCAAACCUGAAAUGUCACCUGCAGGACUCACUGACUUGGGGCCUGGAUUCUGACAAUGCCCUUUAAAUGUCAGAGAUUGUAUUUCCUUAGUCAUUAUUCUAAUGAUCUGCUUGUCUUAUUCAUUCCAAAUGGAGAUGUGAUCUAUUUCCAGCCCCCAAGAUAAUCACGUUUUAAUUAAUUUGGAAGAAGGAUCCGGUGGGGGGCGGUUAUCAGUAAUUCCACGUGUCUUCCAUCCCUUGAAAGCAUGAGAGACGUGAACCUUGUGUUCACCCCCUGGUUCAUUCAUUCAACAAACACAUCUGUAGCUCCUGUUGUGCACCAAGCACAGAGCUGUAUACCCAGGGCACAUGGAUGCAGAGAUAUGCCUACAUGGAGCUCACCGGUCAAGGAUGGACAGUGACAAUGAGUGACAGCCAUAGUGCAGGGUGAUCUGUGCUUUGCUGAAGGAAGCAUUUGAUCCUUCAUGAACCCAGAUGGGGCCACCCACCCAGGUUGAGCUCCCCGCCACCCACUGGAGAAUGCUCCCUAAAAAAAGUGAGCUGGGCAUUUAAGAUGAAGACGGCUUGCCAAUGAUGUGGGCUGGGGGGAGGAGAAGAACGGGAGGGUGCACCAGGCAGAAAGGGCAGUGCCUGGCAGGGCGAAAGACAUCAGGAACAUCCACCAAACCGAAGGCAAGUUGGGUGCUUACAGUGGGCCAUUCAACAUACUAGGCUCCUCACUUAAGCCAGCCUGUGGGUUGCUGCUUGCACGAUCUCCUCUCCAUAGAGGAGUAAACUGAGCUCAGGGACCUUACACACAAAAACCAGAGAAAGCAACUCAAGCUAGUUAAAAGCAGAACUUGAUGCUAAGAAUCUCUGUCUGCAAACAAGAGCAGGGGGGAUAUUUGGAGAAGUCCUUCCAUGAGGUUAGAGAGAAAGAAGACAAGUGGGAUCACGUGGGUCUAGGGAGAUAGCUAAGGGCCAGGGAACUGGGAGGGACUUGUGUGAGAGGCUCCAUUUGGCUUUUACUCAAGGAACCAACAACGGACAGAGGAGGAUGUGGUGGUUGGAUGGCAUCGUUGACUCAAAUGACAUGAAUUUGAGCAAACUGGGAGAAAUUGGAGGACAGGGGAAGCCUGUCAUGCUGCAGUCCAUGGGGUCACAAAGAGUCGGACAUGACUGACCAACUGAACAACGUGGAACCAAGCAUGUGCAGUGAUGGGAAUGGAGUCUGGAGCCCAGGUAACACCUGCUGCAGUGACCCAGGGAGAAGUCAGGGGUGUGAAGUCCUCAGGGAGCAGUGAAACAAAGAUACAAGAGGUCAGCCAUGCUGUGUGCGUUCAGAGUCAUCCAGCCUUGGGCUUGACUGUGGGCAAGCCACAGUCUCAAGGACAAACGGGAGUCCCGGAUCCUAGUCACAGCUCAAAUUGCUUGGCUCUCCGACCUUGAGAAAGUGACCUGAACUCUUCAUACCUCCAUUUCCUCGCUGAUUAGUGAAGCUAAGUAGAAUCAACAUUGAGUUGUUGAGGUUUCAUCUAUCUAAUGUAUGCUAUGCAGGAGAUCUGUUGUAUAAUGCAGGAAGAAUAGAGGACAAUUGAAUUAAUAAGUUCAUGAGGGAGUGAACGAAUCAACAAAUGAAAAAUCUUGAAGGGAAAAGGACUAUGGCUAAACCUGAGCCACACCCCGACACCUUCUUCUAGGUCUUGGUAUAUAUCAACAUUCUACGUUUAAAUUCAGCUGCAAUAGCAGGAGACUGCCAGGAUUUGCUCCGAGAUUCUAGUUGUGUGACCUUGGGCAAGAGGCUUGGGUUCCUCUAGGAUUCAGAGGACAGGAUUCUAACUGCUUCAAUUUCAUAGGAUCGUCAUGAGGAUUCAGUGACUUAAUAUACAUAAAGCACAAUAGAACUUAAAAAUUCAAUCCUUUGAAGAUCUAAAAAUGCUUUCGUAAACAUGAGCUCCUGUGACAGUCACAGAUUCUCUUCAUACAUGUAGGUCAGAAGUUUUCAUAGGUGAGAAGGCAGAGGGACAAAUAUAAAGUUAUUUUCCAUUUUUCUGAAGUCAGGAAUACUAGAGUACUGGGCUUCUUAACCCACCUGCAUUACGCCAGUCCAUGUAUCCCCAGGUCACGUUUGAUCAGUUCCUGCUCCUUCUUGAAGGUCACGACUUCAGGCCUUUCCUCCUGUGAAGCUCUCCAUGACCUCCUGAAAAGCUGGAAGUCACUUAUCCAAAGUUCACAUGGCUGAAAUGGGAUAUCCAAGUUGGCAUUCAUACCCUCUCCCCCCAUAACCAGUGUGCCUUUUUUUUUGGCUGUACUACCCCAGCAUGAGGGAUCUUAGUUCCCUGACCAGGAGAACAGGGAUCGAACCGGCACCCCCUGCAGUGGAAGCAUAGGGUUGUAACCACUGGACUGUUAGAGAUGUCUCAACCAGUGUGCUUUUAGAGACACUGAACAUCAUGAAAGACUUGGAAUGGGCAAAAGGGGAUUGGAUAUUUUUCCAACAGAACCCUAGGCAUUAUCUGGGUUUAUCUGAUCAUAUAAGGUUCUGAGUCCCUCAGAGUCUAUAACUGGACUAGUUUACAACUCUAAGUUAUAUAUAUAUAUUUUUUUUAAGACUUUUUUUUUCCAUAGAGAUGUAAAGGAAUUUCAAAUUUUAUCUGGUGGUGAUGUAAUUGACUUCCCCACCCUGAUCCAAUGGAAGAGCUUCCUUCAAACAUUACUUUUGGUUGGAUAGCAACCAGUUAUGUACCUGUUAGCAAAU
ensembl:lncRNA